rnacentral:rRNA from 1 species
CAUGCUUAACACAUGCAAGUCGAACGGUCAUAGCAAUAUGGCAGUGGCGGACGGGUGAGGAAUAGGUAGGAAUCUACCCUGCACUACGGAAUAACUCUGGGAAACUGGUGCUAAUACCGUAUAUUGCCUUUUGGUGAAAGAUUUAUCGGUGCAGGAGGAGCCUACCUCCGAUUAGCUAGUUGGUAAGGUAAAGGCUUACCAAGGCGAUGAUCGGUAGCUGGUCUGAGAGGAUGAUCAGCCACACUGGGACUGAGACACGGCCCAGACUCCUACGGGAGGCAGCAGUGGGGAAUAUUGGACAAUGGGCGCAAGCUGAUCCAGCAAUGCCGCGUGAGCGAUGAAGGCCUUAGGGUUGUAAAGCUCUUUUACCCGCGACGAUAAUGACGGUAGCGGGAGAAUAAGCCCCGGCUAACUUCGUGCCAGCAGCCGCGGUAAUACGAAGGGGGCUAGCGUUGUUCGGAGUUACUGGGCGUAAAGGGCGCGUAGGCGGCCUUAUAAGUCAGGCGUGAAAGCCCUGGGCUCAACCCGGGAAUUGCGCUUGAUACUGUAAGGCUUGAGGUCGGGAGAGGAUAGUGGAAUUCCCAGUGUAGAGGUGAAAUUCGUAGAUAUUGGGAAGAACAUCGGUGGCGAAGGCGGCUAUCUGGACCGAUACUGACGCUGAGGCGCGAAACGUGGGGGAGCAAACAGGAUUAGAUACCCUGGUAGUCCACGCCGUAAACGAUGUAUGCCAGACGUCGGGUUCUUAGGGAUUCGGUGUCGKCGUUKACGCKUUKAGCAUKSCGCCUGGGSKGUKCGGUCGCKKGAUUKAKACMCCCKGCCAUUGKCGGGGGCCCGCACKAGCGGUGCAGCAUGUGGUUUAAUUCGKAGCAACGCGCAGAASCUUACCAGCUCUUGACAUGGSACUUAUGGACKACAGAGAUGAUGUCCUUCACUUCGGGUGGUGUCCACACAGGUNCUNCAUGNCUGUCGUCAGCUCUUGUCGUNANAUUUUGGGUUAAGUCCCGCAACGAGCGCAACCCUCGUUUUUAGUUNCUUUUUAUGUAAACUAAAAAGACUGCCGGUGACAAACCGGAGGAAGGUGGGGAUGACGUCAAGUCCUCAUGGCCGCUUAUAGGUGGGGCUACACACGUCAUACAAUGGCUGGUACAAAGGGUUGCCAACCCGCGAGGGGGAGCUAAUCCCAUAAAACCAGUCGUAGUCCGGAUCGCAGUCUGCAACUCGACUGCGUGAAGUCGGAAUCGCUAGUAAUCGUGGAUCAGAAUGUCACGGUGAAUACGUUCCCGGGCCUUGUACACACCGAAUCACUAGUGAAUUC